GCACGGGCUGGGCGGGACUAAAAAACACACAUACACACGAACCCAGGUAUAAAAAUGUGCGUGCGUACUUCUCCGGCAUCACACGAUUCGGUGUCUUGUUACUGCGUAUACUCGAACACCAUGGAGCUGAGGACAGUGUGGCUGCUCCUGGCGAUGCUGUGGGCUGUGAGCGCAAGACCCCAGCAGGAGAGUACUGAGGGAACGCCGGGAGAGGCUCCAGGUCCUCCUCUACCAGAGGGUAUCAAUGCGUUGCUCAUUCGCACCUCAGUUCGCCUGAUGUGCGCGGGCAAGGAGGUUCCAGACUGCGAAAAUUUGGCGACGACCUGCUUGACGGAAUACGGACUGGGUUCAGACGCUGAUGUCGACUUUGAAACGGCUUGCCAAGGGAAGAACCAGUUAUUAUGCUACACUAAGAUCUCCGAGUGCAUUGACCUCCUCUCCGUGGCGCCUUCAGCUGGACAGAUACUAGUCUCCGAGGUGUGUUCGGGCAAGGACGCAACAGACUGCAUACAAGAAACAGUACAGUGCAUGUCCCUACUGUAUCCAGGGGCAGAAGGAAGCAGCGCGUGUCCUCCGACGGGUUCUCCCCCAACUGGAAGCGCGCCCGACACCGCAUGCACAGCAAACGUUCUAAAAUGCAUUGAGCUCCUGCUGCCGGAGGAAGGGACCGUGCCAGCAACGCCUCCUACUCCUGAAAUUACCGAAGUCGUGCCUUCGUCUGCGACCUCUGAAACUCCAGCCGAAGAAUUGGCGGCGCUGACCCAAACCUUGAUAGUAAUAACGACGUGUCGGUCAAGUGCCCUCCCGAACUGUCAGGCCCAGAUGAAACAAUGCUUGCCCUUAUUUGGUUUCGGUUCCAACUCAAGCGCAAGCUCGUCGAUUUUGGACGUGAUCUGCAAGGGCACAGUGACUGCGGAAUGCCUGAAUACAGUGGAGACCUGCUCUGACAUAGCAUCUCAAGUGGCUGGCUCAUCGGGAGAUCUCACCGAAGUGGUGUGUGACCGCCUGAGUGUGCCUAACUGCCUCUUUAAGACUGUGAAGUGUCUCGGUAUAUCGGGUAUAUCGGGAGCUGAACCGGAUCUUAGUCUCUGUGCUGACAAUAGUACCUGUUAUGCCGAAAUGAGAGAUUGCGUACAACACUUCAAGAGCGCGGUGAGUGCUUUAACUCCUGAGGCUUCACAAGGCUUCGUGCCAGAGGAGUCACAGAGCUCCGUGCCAGGUGUGCCACAGAAUACCGUGCCAGAGGAGUCACAGAGCUCCGUGCCAGGUGUGCCACAGAAUACCGUGCCAGAGGAGUCACAGAGCUCCGUGCCAGGUGUGCCACAGAAUACCGUGCCAGAGGAGUCACAGAGCUCCGUGCCAGGUGUGCCACAGAAUACCGUGCCAGAGGAUUCACAGAGCUCCGUGCCAGGGAGGACUGAGAAUGAAGCAUCGAACACAGACCCUAUCGGCUUCAUCGCUGGGGUUGCCAACAACAUCUUAAUUCUCCAGUUCUGCGCCGGGAAGGAGAAGGAACUGACCAAUUGCCACGCAGAUGUAGUCGAGUGUAUGUUCGAGCUCCUGAUUCCCCCUCCUGGCUUUGGUCCGCGUUUGGAUAAUGAGACGAUCUGCGAGGCGGGUCUUGACGCAGAAACCUGUGCCAAGAAGCAGAACUGCCUCGUCUUAUAUUCUCCAAAGCCUAAUGCUGUAGACCUUCUACCUCAAGAAAUCUGCCGCGAUCGCAACGUCUCGAACUGCGAGGACAGAGCCGUGUUGUGUCUGGAGAUAUCCGGGAUUGCGGACUUGAGCAGGUCUCUGAUCGGCCUUCCAGAUGAGCUUCCGGAGGGGCCUCACGCUUCCCCGCAGGCAUCGGCGAUAGAACCUGCCGUGUCCUCUGAGGCGACGAUUCCCGAUACACCCACAGGAGCGGGUGAAGCUUUACUCGGGUCUUCGCCGAGUUCCGGCCUGGAUGCGAUACCUGAGGGUUUUGACAUAACAACAUGUCUGGAAGUCUUAUCGCCUAGACCCAUAUUGAGAAAAGAAUCAACGACGAUCACGAAGGAACCAGGAUCACCUUCACCUUCGAGAGGACCUUUAUCCACAACAACAAAUCCACCUGUAUCCACAACCACCAGACGACCAGGAUCCUCUUCACCUUCGAGAGGACCUUUAUCCACGACCACAAAUCCACCAGUAUCCACAACCACCAGACGACCAGGAUCCUCUUCACCUUCGAGAGGACCUUUAUCCACAACAACAACUCCACCAGCAUCCACAACCACCAGACAACCAGGAUCCUCUUCACCUUCGAGAGGACCUUUAUCCACAACAACAAAUCCACCAGCAUCCACAACCAGGGAAGAACCAGGGUCACCAUCACCCUUGAGAGACCCAGCCACACCAACACCCACAAGGGGAUCCGCGCAGUUUAUUUUUUCUGGCGUGGUUGAGGAGGAGGAGGACACGCCGGCGGAGCAAGCCGUCUCUCCCCCAAGCCGAGAUCCUGUGUCCCAAGGGCGGGCUGGAGUGCAUCAGGAAAGCCGAAGCGUGUCUUGAAAGGCUAAAACCAGACGAGUUCUUUAUCCGGCAGUUAUUCAGUUGCAAUGCAGAAGUUGGCCGUAGACGGAAGAACUGCAUGAGACCGGCCAUGGAAAGCCUCUUGAAGAAAGUCGACGACCGAAGGCUUCAGACCACCAUGAUUGAAGCCUUUCCUAUCUGCUUCGAAGAACAUGACUUUGAG
rnacentral:misc_RNA from 1 species